rnacentral:lncRNA from 1 species
UCAUUUUUCUUGCCAAAAUGAGCAUUAAACGAGUAUCAACCCUGUAUAUAGGCAAACGCAAUAAACUACAAAGUCAAAUUCCAAAUAGAAUCAAUGUAAAUGGAUCAAAUUAAAAAAAAAGUAGUAAAAAAAAAAACAUAAAUUCUUCCCCUUACCAUACAUAUUAGUCCUUGAUAUUAAAAAAAAAAAAAAAGACUAAAUACUUGUCUAACUCUCAAAUUCA